rnacentral:tRNA from 2 species
ACCGAAGUGGUGAAAUAGGUAGACACGCUAUCUUGAGGGGGUAGUACCUAAAAAUAUAGGUUUGUGGGUUCAAGUCCCACCUUCGGUA